rnacentral:lncRNA from 1 species
UUACAGUGUUCUGUCAAUCUCUUCUGGACAGCAAAGCGAUGCAAUCAUACAUACAUAUAUUCUUUCUCUCACAUUAUCUUCCACCAUGUUCCAUCACAAGUGACUAGAUACAGUUCUCUGUGCUAUACAGCGGGAUCUCACUGCUUACUCUAUUGGUUCUUUCUCACAGCAGUGAUACAUCUGCAAAGAUCCACCCAUACUCUCUCCCUGAUACCCCUUGUGGCUUCUGGCAAAGUCUGCUGGACUGCUGGUUGAUAUUGCAGCCAUGAAGAGAGAAAAGGACCACAUACAUGAGCUAGACGGACUCACACUCUGCUUUGUCACUAGCUAAAAACAACGAUUAACAAAUACCAUGGGAGGGCGGUGAGAAAGGCAGCAGGGCACCCUGGAAAGUGCCUAACAAGGCAAUUCAUCUCUUGCUAGUUUCCAAGGACACUGAGUUUUCACCUCCUGGUACCCAAGUCCUAAGACAUUUCAUCAGCAUGAGUGUUGGUUUUUUGUUUCUGACUCCCUGUGGCUACAGAUCAUUUCCAAGCUUCAUGUCUACUCCUGCCUCACUUUCUUCUGCCAUCACCCUCCUGGUCUUGAGCUUACCAUCCCCCAAACACCCUCUCUUUUCUUGACCACUCACUUCCUUCCCAUGGAAUCUAGGUAAUGUGUUCCCUCAGGAAACUUCUGCCUUAUCCAUUAUCACCAACAUCAAUCAGGACACAGAUAAUAUAUAAAAAUUACCACAUUUAAAAAGUGCUCUGAUCUGGAUAUCUUUUAGGGGCUCUUUGCUCAGUUUUAAUAAAUAACUCCAGGAGUUCCCGUCAUGGCUCAGUGAUUAACAAAUCUGACUGGGAACCAUGAGGUUGGGGGUUUGAUCCAUGGCCUUGCUCAGUGGGUUAAGGAUCUGGCAUUGCUCUGACUGUGGUGUAGGCCUGCAGCUACAGCUCUGAUUAGACCCCCUAGCCUGGGAACCUCCAUAUGCCAUGGGAGUGGCCCUAGAAAAGGGAAAAAGACAAUAAAUAAAUAGAUAAAUAACUUCAAAUUUAUGAGUAUGAAAGGUAGGAAAUGUUUCCAUAUUCAUGAAUGUAGCCCCACAGCAAUAUUUAUAAUGAAAUAAAAAACACUAUUUUUAGGAUAACCCAAUGAUCCUUUAAUCAUCACAAAAACUUUUGGAACCCCCAGUCUAAAAAAAAAUCCAAACUGAAGCAAAUGUAUAUGAUAGAUGUUAUAAAUGUUUUUGAAAAUGAAGUUAUGACUCAGAAGGGCAUGGAUUUCUCCUCUGAAAUGUUGCAAGCCUAAUGCGAAUGAUUUGUUUGGUCACUUCACAUCAGAAAUUUCCUAAUUUUCCACUGUGAAAAAGUUUUCAAUCUUUAAACAAGACUACUGCUAAUACAUCUUAAAAUUCCAAGACUAAAAGGAAUUUCUUCCAAAUUAAAUUUCUAGUUUAAAAAGAGAAGCAAGCUGUAGUCUCGCUUUAUACGUUUCCAUGUAUAAUGUCAAUAUACGUGGAAAAUGGGAUUUAAAAUCAACACCAUACAAAAUCAUGAAAUCCGAGACCCCAGAAAUGAAAAUAUUUACAUUCUUAUCUAUCCUUUAUUGAAAUUGACAAAGUUUUAAGUAAGAAUGUCAUAAUCUUUUAACAGAUCAUAAAACUGACAUGAUGGCAAAAAUCUUUUCAGUGGGAGUCAAUUUACUCUGCCACAGGAAGGCAAAAAUCACCACAUUAAAAUCACAUGCUAAUUGCCAAUCCUGGCUUUGCAGUCCCCAAAUCUUGAAAACGAAAUUAUUGCAGUUCACUCUGGGACUGUCUACAUGUACAUUUUUAGCAUCAAAUAACAUUUUUUAGAGAAGACAAAAUUUCAAUUUUACUAACAAAAGAGUGGUACAAUUUCAAAAGAUUGUACAACUUUCAAAAAGUAGAGUAAUGACCUGCCUACUCUUGUAUUUACAUUUUGAAAGUAAACAGUAUCAGAUGCUUCAGGGAAUAACAUCCUAUAUGAUCACUUGUCCAUUUAUUUUUACAUAGGAAAUCUUCAAAAAGCAGGUAGAGAUAAGAACUCGACUUGAAAUCUCAAACCAUUUAAUCCAAAAUUUCAAAUCAUUUAAUCUAAAAUUAAGAGUAGCCACAAAAAACCUAGGAGAGCAUUCAAGAAGCAAAGUUAGAAAUCACCCUCUCUGAAACUGGGCAACGUUAGUAAGAAAAAAGUUGGUAAUUAUUUUGUCAUCAAUUUGUUGAUCCCUUCCUUAUGGCCUGUCUCAGGGGGUUAAGGAUCUGGCAUUGCUGUGACACCAACCAUACUGGAGAAUCUGUGUACCCAUGUGUUUUCCCCACCAGAUUUAAGGUGAGGAGCUGUGUCUCAUUCAUUCAUGCCCACGUUCUUCACACCAAGUCCAGUGCAUUAUACACAGUAGAGAAAGAAAAAAGGUUGAAUAAUUUAAGGUAAUACAUGUAUUCCUAACUGGAGAUAAUCAGUUAUGCUCCAAUUCAUGUAAGGACAUUCAUAAUUUCAUUUUAGCUAAUAAGCAGUGAGUAAUUUGAUGGGUUUUUUUUAAUCCACAAAGCUAUGAAAUGGAUUUUAAGCUCUAAAUAACAUAGUUAUAUUUUAAACAUAUUUAAAAGAAAUACAUAGUGAAACAUUUAAAAAACACUCUCACAAAUAAAGUUGAAGGGAGUUCCCAUCAUGGCUCAGCGGAAACAAAUCUGACUAGCAUCCAUGAGGACGCAGUUUCCAUCCCUGGGCCUGCUCAGUGGGUUAAGAAUCUGGCGUUGCCAUGAGCCUUGGUUGUAGGUCGCAGAUUCAGCUCGGUUCUUGCUUUGCUGUGGCUGUGGUGUAGGCCAGCAGCUAUAGCUCUGAUUCAACCCCUAGCCUGGAAACCUCCAUAAGCUACAGGUGCAGCCCUAAAUAGACAAAAAAUAAAAAUAAUAAUAAAGUAGAAAAUGAUUGACUUCACUGUGUAUAAAAUGGAACCAGACGGUGUUGGUAUGGUGAAUGUAAAGUGACCAGGCACAGAUGUUGUAAAAUGACAUGACAGGAACCUUAUAGAGUGAAUUAAAAGAGACCCUGGAAUUCUGAUUGGAAAAGUCUGGCUGGCAAAUAGGAGGCUUAAUUAAUGUAAAGUACUGCCAUCUCCAUUCAGACAGGGUUUGAGAAGGUGGGGAGUUUCCCAUCCCUCGGGAACAAUGACUUCUACCCCAAUCUACAUGGUACGGCUGGAAACAGGUACAGAACUGAUUCAGCCCAGCGACUCACCCUCCACUGCCCAAAGGAAAUAACGUGAUACCAAGGAGAGAGGGCCCUCUCUGGACCCCCAACAAUCUCAGUUCCAUCAUCUCUAAAGCUCUAGUCCAUAGCAAAAGUAGGCAAAUUAGGAGUUCCCAUUGUGGCUCAGUGGUUAACAAACCCAAGGAGUAUCCAUGAGGACGACAGUUCGAUCCCUGGUGGGUUAAGGAUCUUGCAUUGCCACGAGCUGUGGUGUAGGUAACAGACGUAGCUCAGAUCCCACCUUGCUGCUGCUGUGGCUGUGGCUGUGGUGUAGGCCAGCAGCUACAGCUCCGAUUUGACCCCUAGCCUGGGAACCUCCAUAUGCCUCGGGUAUGGCCCUAAAAAGACAAAAGACCAAAAAAAAAGUAGGCAAAUUACAGGCUAUAGGCCAAAAUGGGCCAGAUCUGACCCCCUCCUGUGUUUGUACAACCUGCAAGCUAGGAAUGGGUUUUUACUUUUUAAAUGUUAAGACGAAGAAUCAUAUUUCAUAACACAUGAAAAUUUUAUGAAAUUCAAAUGUCCAUUCCAUAAAGUUUUCAUUGGAAUACAGUUGUGCUCAUUCAUUACAUGUUGUCUGCAGCUGCUUUUUCACUACAACGGCAGAGCAGAGAGAGACCUUAUAGCUUGCCAAGCCUAAGAUAGUUACUACCUGGCCCUUAACAGUAAAAAGCAUGGUGACCUCUAGGCUAGAAGAUUUCUCCGUGCUCCCACCUGCAUCUGAUUUCUGAGUUAGUCCACUGCUUCAUAAGGUACAGACUCUAAGCUUGAGAGAUGUCCAUCUUGGGGCUGUUCUGUCCAAAGUUACAUCAAUGUAUAUAACACAGUGCAACUCAUUAGGAUAGGGCCAAAGACAAAGUAACAAAUUGCAUGCACAAAGAAGGCACUGAAAAGGAAGCACAAUGCAAGCACAACAUUACAGGCAGAACAGUUCUGGGUGACACUACUGAGAAAAAUGAGAACUACAGAGAAUUUGGAGAUGGACAGAUGAUUAAAAGAGCUCACAAAUCAUACCACUAAAGAAAUAGGAUUAGCUGGCCCAAAGAAAAAAGGAUGAGAAAAGAACUACAGUACCGAGGGAGUCCAACUCUACAUUUGUUGAUAGGCUAAAUUCCUACUGAUGAAAAUAAUUGGCAACAAACUAAAUUUGCACAAAAUAUUUAUCUAAUGAAUUAAAUGUGAUUCUUAAUAAGAUUGCUGUUCCUGUCUCAGGCCAUAAACUAAACCCUUAAAAAGUAAUCCCUUGUUAAAUACUGUGCUAUAAGACUUAAACUGAUAUAUUAUAGGGACAUUCCUUUUCCAGAAACAUUUGUCACUUUGUAAGUUAUCAGAAA